CGAAAGCCUGACGGAGCAAUACCGCGUGAGGGAGGAAGGCUCUUGGGUUGUAAACCUCUUUUCUCAGGGAAGAAUACAUGACGGUACCUGAGGAAUCAGCAUCAGCUAACUCCGUGCCAGCAGCCGCGGUAAUACGGAGGAUGCAAGCGUUAUCCGGAAUGAUUGGGCGUAAAGCGUCCGCAGGUGGCAGUGAAAGUCUGCUGUCAAAGAGUCUGGCUCAACCAGAUAAAGGCAGUGGAAACUACACAGCUAGAGUACGUUCGGGGCAGAGGGAAUUCCUGGUGUAGCGGUGAAAUGCGUAGAGAUCAGGAAGAACACCGGUGGCGAAGGCGCUCUGCUAGGCCGUAACUGACACUGAGGGACGAAAGCUAGGGGAGCGAAUGGGAUUAGAUAUCCCAGUAGUCCUAGCCGUAAACGAUGGAUACUAGGUGUUGCUUGUAUCGACCCGAGCAGUACCGUAGCUAACGCGUUAAGUAUCCCGCCUGGGGAGUACGCAGGCAACUGUGAAACUCAAAGGAAUUGACGGGGGCCCGCACAAGCGGUGGAGUAUGUGGUUUAAUUCGAUGCAACGCGAAGAACCUUACCAGGGCUUGACAUGUCGCGAACCCUUGUGAAAGCAGGGGGUGCCUUCGGGAGCGCGAACACAGGUGGUGCAUGGCUGUCGUCAGCUCGUGUCGUGAGAUGUUGGGUUAAGUCCCGCAACGAGCGCAACCCUCGUUUUUAGUUGCCAUCAUUAAGUUGGGCACUCUAGAGAGACUGCCGGUGACAAACCGGAGGAAGGUGGGGAUGACGUCAAGUCAGCAUGCCCCUUACGUCCUGGGCUACACACGUACUACAAUGCGCCGAACAGAGGGCAGCAAGCGUGCGAAUGCAAGCUAAUCCCGGAAAUCGGCGCUCAGUUCAGAUCGCAGGCUGCAACUCGCCUGCGUGAAGUUGGAAUCGCUAGUAAUUGCAGGUCAGCAUACUGCAGUGAAUUCGUUCCCGGGCCUUGUACACACCGCCCGUCACACCAUGGAAGCUGGUAGUGCCCGAAGUCAUUACCCCAACCUCCGGGAGGGGGAUGCCUAAGGCA
rnacentral:rRNA from 1 species